rnacentral:ncRNA from 3 species
AGAAAUAUGUCUGACAAAAGAAUUACUUUGAU